AAGGCUUUAAGUUAAACCAAACUAAUAUCCUUCAAAGCUAUAAAUAAAGAGAGUCUCUUUAAGCCUUA
rnacentral:tRNA from 1 species